CCUUGUGUGGUGCAACCAGUUGAGCACUUGGCUAUUAACCAAAAGGUUGGUGGUUCAAACCCACCCAGGGGCA
rnacentral:tRNA from 1 species